ACGACCUUAAUUGGAGAAGAUAUGUUCUAUAGGCUCUUACCAUUGUAUCAUUGACUACUAAGAAGACAAGAAAUAAAGUAUGAUUAUGACCAUAUGACCAAAGCAUGAUUAAUAACUAUCCACGGCUCCUUGAGUUUUGGUGUUUUGGAUGAUCGUUCUUAGACAUGAUAUCCAACCUGAUAAGCCUGUUUGGAUUGACUUAUU
rnacentral:snoRNA from 1 species